GGUCAAUGCUCAACCAUUGAGCUACUCGCCAGCCAGGCCCCUAUUUUAUAUUCUUGCACCUCUAUGGACAAAGAAACCUGUCUAAACCUUAACGUCUUUUGGCUGCAAAUGGCCUUAGCAAGUACUUUUUAAAAAAAUAUUGAUUUUGAGAGAGAGAAACGUUGAUUUAUUGUUCCACUAAUUUAUACAUUCAUUGAUUGCUUCUUUUAUGUGCCUUGAUCAGAGUUCAAACCCACAUCCUUGGCAUAUCCGGAGGACGCCCUAAUCAACUGAGCUACCUGGCCAGGGCCAGCAAAUACUUUUGACUUGUCUUUUCUUCUGUUGUGGAAAGGUGGAUUAUAGAAACACAUCAAUUGGUUCCAACCAUGGCUGGGAUUGGGCCUACAACUGAGGGCUGACACUCUAUUCAUUGAACCAAACUGCCCAGGGCUAUUCUUCUUUUUGCCAUACAAGUCUUCCGCAUAGUCUUGUAUUCUGUGAAGGAUGGUUAAAGAUGCUACUAUUUUAAUUUUUCUGUCUUAAAAGCCGUAUUUUCAGCCUUUAACAUUUAUUCCAAUUGGAGACCUUACCCAGUGUUUGAUCAGAUAUAUUUUUGUAUGUACAAGGGAAUCCUAGCCCAAAUGAAGAAAUAUUUGAUGAAUUCUUUGUGAUGACAUUCCCAGUAUAGGCCCUUAUGGCGAGUUAGUGUCAACCUGGAAUUAAUAUUUGAUUUAUGGUUUUAUAACUAAUUUUUGAACCAAUAAAGUCAUGAACUGA